rnacentral:misc_RNA from 1 species
GAUGAAGAACGUAGCGAAAUGCGAUAAGUAAUGUGAAUUGCAGAAUUCAGUGAAUCAUCGAAUCUUUGAACGCACCUUGCGCUCCUUGGUAUUCCGAGGAGCAUGCCUGUUUGAGUGUCAUUAAAUUCUCAAUCCUCUCUGGGUUUUUUCUCAGUUAGGAUUGGAUAAUGGGGGCUUUGCUGGCUUGAAUAAGGUCAGCUCUCCUAAAAUAUAUUAGCAAGACUCUUGUUGCAGCCUUCUAUUAUGGUGUGAUAAUUAUCUACAUCAUAGAUUGCAAGCAGUAAAAAAAAUGUCAGGCUUCUAACAGUCCAUUGACUUGGACAAACUAAUUGACAAAUUUGACCUCAAAUCAGGUAGGACUACCCGCUGAACUUAAGCAUAUCAAUAAGCGGAGGA